GGAAUUAGCUCAGCUGGCUAGAGCGCCUGCCUUGCACGCAGGAGGUCAUCGGUUCGACUCCGAUAUUCUCCACUAAAC
rnacentral:tRNA from 1 species